rnacentral:rRNA from 1 species
GUCUACAGCCAUGCCACCCUGAACAAGCCUGAUGUCUGAUCUUGGAAGCUACGCAGUGUUAGGCCUGGUUAGUACUUAGAUGGGAAGCCUAGAAAGACCAGGUGCUGUGAACA